rnacentral:rRNA from 1 species
CAGUCGCCGCGGUAAUACGUAGGGUGCGAGCGUUAAUCGGAAUUACUGGGCGUAAAGCGUGCGCAGGCGGUUAUAUAAGACAGAUGUGAAAUCCCCGGGCUCAACCUGGGACCUGCAUUUGUGACUGUAUAGCUAGAGUACGGUAGAGGGGGAUGGAACUCCGCGUGUAGCAGUGAAAUGCGUAGAUAUGCGGAGGAACACCGAUGGCGAAGGCAAUCCCCUGGACCUGUACUGACGCUCAUGCACGAAAGCGUGGGGAGCAAACAGGAUUAGAUACCCGCGUAGUCCCUGUCUCUUAUAC